AGCAACCCAUUCCAUAUACUUAUAGUACUAGGGAAGAGAAGGGUUCUCUACAUUUUGAAAGUCACUAUAGUCUAACUCCUGGACCAACCAUACACAUAAACGAACUGGUUUCCAAACAGUACAACUAAAACAAAUGCCCGUGUGGCCAACAAGCAGACCAAAAGUUAUGCAGACAAUUAAGGACACCGACAUGUCACCCUGUUGAAAACACUUUCUUAACAGAUGUUUGGGGGAGGUGUAGUCAAGAGAGUGAACUGUCACAGAAAUAAAUUUACUUUAGAUGUCGCCUCCAUCUUGGUGCAUAGUUGCUAGUCAUAGUGUACCACAAUGACAGACUGUGGACGCAAGAACUGCAAACAGUUUUGCUACCAAUUUGUCACCGAGAACUUGCUGGUCAUUCUGACCCUACUCGCUGUGAUAGUUGGUAUUAUUGUUGGCAUAUCAGUUCGACAAAUAAAUCC
rnacentral:sRNA from 1 species